UACAGGGGGGGCAAGCGUUGUUCGGAAUUACUGGGCGUAAAGGGCGCGUAGGCGGCCUGCUAAGUCGGACGUGAAAUCCCUCGGCUCAACCGGGGAACUGCGUCCGAUACUGGUGGGCUCGAAUCCGGGAGAGGGAUGUGGAAUUCCAGGUGUAGCGGUGAAAUGCGUAGAUAUCUGGAGGAACACCGGUGGCGAAGGCGGCAUCCUGGACCGGUAUUGACGCUGAUGCGCGAAAGCCAGGGGAGCAAACGGG
rnacentral:rRNA from 1 species